UAACAAAGAAAAGUUCCCCUGUGAUUCCUAAUAGUUUUCAGUCAUUUGGUAUUGGCUUAUCAAUAACUAGACCUAACUUUAACGUGGAUCGCCUCAUGUUUCCUUUUGCAAAUAGUUGGAUUGGCUAGUGACAUGGUUUGUGAGACAGCAAAGAUUUGGAGGAAAAUUCAUUGCUCUGAAGUUGCUGAACGAGCUCAUAAAUACAUGCACUUUACUGACUCACUGAAGAUUCGCUGCCUUAGGAAGACACAAAAGAAUCAUAAUUUGCAAGCCUAACAGCUUGCAUUGAAAUUUCAACAAAGGAUUCUGGAGGAAUCUUUAUAGUUUCUUGAACAUUCUUUGGGUAAUAAAAUAAGGCAGAGUUGACACUUUGGACUUGAAGAGACUUCUUCAAUAAUCUCAAAUAUGGGAAUUCUUUUAUCCGGCUCAAAACAUUCUCUAAGUAUAGCUAUCAUUAGGGAAUGAAAAUGAAGUAAUUUCUUUCUUUCUUUCUUUGUGUGUGUGUGUGUAUAAGCAUAAUUUUAUUUUUUUCAGUGUUAGGUUCAGGUGUACAGUAUAGUGAUUCAACAAUUCCUGUAAUGGACUGUUUUCUUAAAAAAUUUGAAAUACAAUCUUAUUUCCCUAAACUUUCAAAGAAAUCAAUAAUGCCAUUUUGAUAAUGUGAAUAGUUAUAGACAACUUCAUUGUUAAAAAAAUUCAGAGCAUGAGUGUCUUGUGUGUAUGUAUAUAUAUGUGUGUGUGUGACUUUAAACUUAAGUGAUUAUUUAAAAAAAAAUUUUUUUAAUGUGUAUUUAUUUUUGAGAGAGAGAGACAGAGCGCGAGCCUGGUGGGGCAGAGAGAGAGGGAGACACAGAAUCCGAAGUAGGCUCCAGGCUCUGAGCUGUCAGCACAGAGCCCGACGCUGGGCUUGAACCCACGAGAGACCAUGACCUGAGCCAAAGUCAGACAACCGACUGAGCCACCCAGGCACCCCUAAACUUAAGUAAUUAUUAAGGAUGAAUUUAAAGCAGUGUAGUUGUAAAAGCUUAUUUUGUAUUUGAGAAAUAAGUGAAGUAAAAAUAAGUAAACUUCAACUUGGUUUGGUAACUUGUUUAACAUUACCCAGUGUACCUAUAUUGAUAACUUUGACCAUUGGAAAAGUUUUACUUGUGUUAUUAUUGUUUUCCCUGGUGAACUACUCUUAAAAACUUGAGUAAUAGGAGAGAGACAGAUGUCAUUGUGGAUUGUCAUUCUGUUCUUCCUACAUCAUUCAGAUCAUGUCCAUAGAAUUAAAGUAUUUGGUUAUGGGUGAAAUCACAUUUGCUUCAGUUCAGAAAAAAAAAAAAAAGUGUGUGUGUACUUUUAUAUAUGUUACAUGUAUAUACACAUAUAUAUCUUUGUUUUUAUUUACUUCUUGUUAUAUGCUAGAUCCACUAAUAGAAGUCUAAAUUAUUCCCUGCCCUCGAGGAAUUUACGGUUUAUUUAAAGUAGGUAAUAAGACAGCAAAUACAUUUUGGAGAAAUUAGGAGUGCUUUUAUAGGAGUUCUGAGGAUUGUGGAAUCACUUUAGGGUAGGAUUUGAAUUGUGCUUUGAAGGAAUGGUAUUUAGGUGGGUUUGGAGAGGAGAAAAGAACAUUGGGGAACACCACAAAAUACAGAGACAAAUAAUGUGAAUAGAUCAAUUUAAUAAGAAUGGAAGGUUCACACUUGGGUAUAGUUCUUGAGCCUGGAAUAGUAAGUAGGUUGGUGCUACAGUAUGGAUGCCUGUGAAUGCUAUGCAUAAUAGUGAUUUGACUUAUUCAGUAGGCAGUCAGAACCAAGGGAGAAGUUUCUGAGUAGGGAGCUAAUAUGUGAGUAGCAUUUUAGGAAAAUUAAUCUCAUAGGAAGGUUAACCCUCAGUUCUUUACCUGUGUGUAGCAGGGAUCAGCAAACUAUGCCCACAGCCCAGAUCCAGCCUGCGGUCUUUUUUUUUUU